AUCGAGAAAACCACGCAAGCCAUUAAUGUACUCCAUGGAGUGUUUGUUCGCACUGUACAUCCAUUGCUGAUCCAUCUAUAAAGUAUUACCGAACCAAAGAUAUUUUGAUCAUCCAUAGAAUUAUACAUGAAACAUAACAAACAUGAUACAAAUACCAUUAAAGUCAAAUAUUACUGAAAGUUUAGAUAGAAAUACACAAAUUUAAAUUUCAAACCCAAACAACAUGACACUAUGACAAACUCAAAUGUUGCUGAAAGUUUAGAUAGAAAUACACAAAUUUAAAUUUUAGACCCAAACAACAUGUACACUACGACAAAC
rnacentral:lncRNA from 1 species